rnacentral:lncRNA from 1 species
UUAAAUACAAUUUGUUUAUUGCAAAAAUGUAUAUUGACAGCUGAACCCCCCAGCUUUUGCAAGCAAUGAAAUACAAAACUACUGACAACUGAACUUUGAUAAUAUACCAGAUCUCUGAAUCUGUCACUAACAUCCAUAGGAUAAAUCCAAAAUAUAAAAAUAUAUUACUAUUUAGUAAAUUGCACAAAGGGUCCUGUGAGACCAAAGAUUAAAUGCCGUUGAGCCAAACACAAACACAUGUUUUAUCAUCUCGACAAUUUACUGAUGCCAGAUUACCACCAGGUUUACUCGACAAGCAUGCACUCCGACAGCUCUGCUGGUUGCAGUUGUUUACUGGUAUAGCAGUGUUGCUAAAGAUUGGAUGACCACCUAGAUUGUGAUACCAGGGCCCUUCACCUCUUGCUUCAUUGUUUACCUCACCUGUUACAAAACAAUGGCUUAGUACAUAUACCAUAUUUGCAAGAGGCUAUUACUUGCGCAAAAUGUACACAAAUUGCGUUAUAGUGCAUUUUGUACAUAAUAAGCGCGGAUAGCAUGUUGCAACUAAAUACACAAUUAAAUCAAUAUAAAGUGACAUGAUGUAUACAGUAUACCUAUUGUAACAGGCAAGUUUAUGCCAAUUGUUGCAUAAACAACACAAACACAGAGAAUACCAAAAAUGGUUUUGCCCAUAAUGCUCUGCUUACAAAAGUAGAGUUUGGAGAGUGUGUCAGUUUAUAUUAUCUAAAAUGUCAAUAAAACACUCUGUAUAUAGAGAAGAGAUAACUGCUGGAAUUUAUGUUUGGAACAUAUCAUGUGCAUUUGAUUAAUAUUUGUAUAAUCAUA